GUACUGCUGAGGAGUUCCACAAUAGGAUGAAACGACCAUCCAGUAC
rnacentral:hammerhead_ribozyme from 1 species